rnacentral:rRNA from 1 species
CUCUACAGCCAUACCACCAUGAAUGUGCCCGAUCUUGUCUGAUCUUGGAAGCUAGGCAGGGUCGGGCCUGGUUAGUACUUGGAUGGGAGAGUUUGGGGAGUCCCAUGUAUAACUGUUAUGG